rnacentral:piRNA from 1 species
UUUGUGACGCCUGGGACCAGGCUGGG